rnacentral:rRNA from 1 species
GAUGAACGCUGGCGGCGUGCCUAAUACAUGCAAGUCGAGCGAACAGACGAGGAGCUUGCUCCUCUGACGUUAGCGGCGGACGGGUGAGUAACACGUGGAUAACCUACCUAUAAGACUGGGAUAACUUCGGGAAACCGGAGCUAAUACCGGAUAAUAUAUUGAACCGCAUGGUUCAAUAGUGAAAGACGGUUUUGCUGUCACUUAUAGAUGGAUCCGCGCCGCAUUAGCUAGUUGGUAAGGUAACGGCUUACCAAGGCAACGAUGCGUAGCCGACCUGAGAGGGUGAUCGGCCACACUGGAACUGAGACACGGUCCAGACUCCGACGGGAGGCAGCAGUAGGGAAUCUUACGCAAUGGGCGAAAGCCUGACGGAGCAACGCCGCGUGAGUGAUGAAGGUCUUCGGAUCGUAAAACUCUGUUAUUAGGGAAGAACAAAUGUGUAAGUAACUAUGCACGUAUUGACGGUACCUAAUCAGAAAGCCACGGCUAACUACGUG